rnacentral:miRNA from 1 species
GGAGCCAGACCCAACGACAAGCAGAGACAACUGACUCUGGUCUUUCUAGGAAACCAGAGUUAGUUGUCUCCGCUUGCCGUUGGGUCUGGCUCC